rnacentral:rRNA from 1 species
CUAGAAGUCGACUAGCCGUUGGGGUCCUCGAGACCUUUGUGGCGCAGUUAACGCACUAAGUCGACCGCCUGGGGAGUACGGCCGCAAGGUUAAAACUCAAAUGAAUUGACGGGGGCCCGCACAAGCGGUGGAGCAUGUGGUUUAAUUCGAUGCAACGCGAAGAACCUUACCUACCCUUGACAUCGUGCGAACUUUCCAGAGAUGGAUUGGUGCCUUCGGGAGCGCACAGACAGGUGCUGCAUGGCUGUCGUCAGCUCGUGUUGUGAAAUGUUGGGUUAAGUCCCGUAACGAGCGCAACCCUUGUCCCUAUUUGCCAGCGAUUCGGUCGGGAACUCUAGGGAGACUGCCGGUGACAAACCGGAGGAAGGUGGGGACGACGUCAAGUCAUCAUGGCCCUUACGGGUAGGGCUACACACGUGCUACAAUGGCCGGUACAAUGGGUUGCAAAGCGGCGACGUGGAGCUAAUCUCAUAAAGCCGGUCUCAGUCCGGAUCGGAGUCUGCAACUCGACUCCGUGAAGUCGGAAUCGCUAGUAAUCGUGCAUCAGAAUGGCACGGUGAAUACGUUCCCGGGCCUUGUACACACCGCCCGUCACACCAUGGGAGUGGACUGCACCAGAAGUGGUUAGCCUAACUUCGGAGGGCGAUCACCACGGUGUGGUUCAUGACUGGGGUGAAUCUAAAAGGGGGGAACAAAAAGUGGUUUGGGGGGGGCUUUCGAAACCCCGAAACAAGGUGGGUUUC